CAAAUUCCAAACUUUCAAAACCCUCACCACCACCACCUCGCCCUUGAUCACAACUCCCUCCGCUUCCCUCUCCAUUGCCACCACUCAUCAUUCAUCUUCUUGUUCAUCAUCAUCAUCAUCAUGCCUUUUACAAUGAAGAUUCAGCCGAUUGAUUCUAACAUCUAUUAAGAGAUGAGGAGGUAGGAAUUGGUGAAGCCGGUGGCCAAGUGGCGGUUGAAGCGCCUCUUCGAGUGCUAAUGCCCCGGUGUUUUGAGGAGCUCGGCGGUGGUGGUGCACUACAAAAUAGGUGGAGGAUUGCGGCGUCCAUUUCGUGUCGAUUUACCUAAUCACCGCCAAAUUUUUGUUGACCGCAGCAAAUUUUGUUUUGGCCCCUUCUCCCGCUAAAAAGGAGAAAUCACUUCAUUUCAUUUCAGUAGUGAGCCAAGCCCCUUCUCCUCCCUUCUCCAAACUCAGAACUAAGGUCUGAGAACCCUAGCCUCUCUUCGUUGGUCCGUCCAUCCAUCAAGCCACUGCCGCCGUCCGUCGCACGCAGGGACUUCUCUUCGUCCGUCGAGCCAAUGCGCCCCCAUCCCCUUCUCCAAUCUUCUUCCUUCAGCAGAAUUGCGUGUAGCCCUAGCCCCUCCAUCCACCUCGUAGCUUCUUCGGGGAGCUUAGCGACUGUCGUCUUUGUCCUAACUUUUCUCAAAUUCUCCUACCUCUGCUCUGCUUCAUGCCUCCGUCUCAACCGUCUAGUUGGUCUCUGUUGCUGCUUCCCCCGGGUCAUUGGUGGUGCCUCCUUGUUGUCCCUAUUGGUCGUCGUUGCUAGGUAUAUGGUUGUCGAUGUCGUUGCAUCUGCUUCUGGUUCACACACUCACUAAUUGGGGCUUGUGAUUGGAGCUCCUAAAUUCUGAGUUAUGCAGGUCAAGCUCCCCCUGAUUUGAGUUUCUAGCCACUGUUUUUUUCCCUAAUUUAACUCUAUUUCAUAGAUUUUUUUCUUAAAUUUUAUUUCUUUUAGGUUUAGCCUAUUGAUUUUGGUUGUUUAUAUUGUUGAAUUAAACUUGAAUGCUUAACUGUGUAGUACCCCUGAUUUGAUGAUUUUAUAUUAUUAUGGGAUAGAAAUAAAAAUUUUAAAAUAGAACAGCCAAAAGAAUGAUUGACAUAAACCAGAAUUUUGAUAUAAUAGCACAAUGCUAUCAAUGAUGUGCAGUUGAAUUAGUAUUGCAAGUUGAACUUGAAUGUUCAGGGGUUGAUUUGUUGUAUUCUUUUAUGCUAUCUGCUACAUGAUGCUUAGGAAAAACCUUGAUUGCCAUUUGUUCUGUCUUUCGUUCUGAUUUUGAUGUUGCUGCUCUACUGGUCUUAUUUUCUUGUUGCAAGAAUACUUCGCCGAUUUGCACUUGUAUGCAGAGAUUCAGGCCUAAGAACCAAGAAGCUUGGAACUUGAGAGAUGUGUCUGACGGGUGUGUGAGGAACACGGGUUUGAAUUGUUUGACUGACAAGUUCUUGCAUCUUAAGAACAAGAAGCUGCCGGAGACAAGCAGUGUGUUUAUGAAUAAGAGUAUGACACUUGAUGAAUGUGGCAAUCUGUGUAAGAGGAAUUGUUCAUGCACUGCAUAUGCAAACAUUGAUAUUAGAAACGGAGGAAGUGGCUGUGUUAUGUGAAUUGGUCAACUCUUUGACAUGAGUGUCUACCGUACGGAUGGUCAAGAUGUCUAUGUUAGAUUGGCUGCAGCUGAUAUAGCCGCUAUUUUAGGUUUUGUCCAUAAAAAUCAUGAUUGAUUAAUGAAUGAGGUGGUGCCUUCUAGAAGAUACUUGGGUGAUGAAAGGAACAUGGAUGAUCUAGAGUUGCCAAUGUUUGAUUUUGAUACCUUGAUGUGGCUACAAACAAUUUCUCUCAAGAUAAUAAACUUGGAGAAGGAGGCUUCGGUAGUGUUUAUAGGAUUGAUUGAAGGCCAAGAAAUUGCUGUGAAAAGAUUGUCAGAAGACUCUGAACAAGGAAUUGAAGAAUUUAAAAAUGAAGUCAAAUCAAUUGUCAAGCUGCAACACCGAAAUCUUGUUCGGUUGCUUGGUUGCUGCAUUAAGAAAAAUGAGAAGAUGUUGGUGUAUGAAUAUAUGGAAAAUAGAGACCUUGAUUCCAUUUUAUUUGGUAACUUGCAUUAUUUAUUUAGAUUUUUUUAUUUUGGUAGUAAUUGUAAAAUUGGCCUCAAUUCCUAACUUCAUAUGCUUCAGAUAGAUGUCAUUUGAUUUGUUUUGGGUAGAUAAUUCAAAUCAGGAUGAUUACCAAAGUAAUUUUGUUGAAAGGUUUCAUGCUAUUAGCUUUUGUUUAGUAUUUGAACGUGUAUCAUUAUUUAGACUUAGACAACCAAGUGACAAAUUCUUCCAAUAUGAUUACGAAAUAAUUUUUUACUUUAGUUU